UUUUGCGAGAUCUCGCAAAAGUUUCACAUGAAGAAGGUGAGCUUGUGGAAUCAUUGGGGAGGAUUUGGAAGAGUUCCUGCACUCAAGAGAAGUCCCACAAGAGGACA